UGAUGUUGCAUGAUGCGAGGAAAAGUUGUAAUGGUGAAUCGCCGGAUAAAGACUAAAGGAUUAGUCUGAAAGGCGCGAUUGGGAUGCGAAUAACAAAAUUGUUAUUUUUUAUACAUUCGCUAAAAGUUCUAAUGUUUUAGCCUAGGUUGGAUUGCUUGAAAGCUUUUGAGACACGUUUGGAAAGAGAAGUUUCUCUAAGUAUGGUUGCCG
rnacentral:misc_RNA from 1 species